CUUGUAGAGAUACGAGAGUGCCUUCGGGAACCUACACACAGGUGCUGCACGGCUGUCGUCAGCUCGUGUCGUGAGAUGUUGGGUUAAGUCCCGCAACGAGCGCAACCCUUGCCCUUAGUUACCAUCAUUUAGUUGGGGACUCUAAGGGGACUGCCGGUGAUAAACCGGAGGAAGGUGGGGACGACGUCAAGUCAUCAUGGCCCUUAUGACCGGGGCUACACACGUACUACAAUGGUCGGUACAGACGGUCGCAAGCUCGCGAGAGUAAGCUAAUCCGAGAAAACCGAUCGUAGUCCGGAUCGCAGUCUGCAACUCGACUGCGUGAAGUCGGAAUCGCUAGUAAUCGCAAAUCAGAAUGUUGCGGUGAAUACGUUCCCGGGCCUU
rnacentral:rRNA from 1 species